AAAUACCCGUUCGCUUGUUCGCGUUAUGUGCAUGUUUGCGUGUGCUUGUUUUGCUGUUCAAGUGACGUGCUGCUGACUGUCGCAUCCAGCAUGGAAUACUGCAUGCUCAGAGUGCAUUUAUUGCAAAAGACUAUGCGCUUCACCCCGAGGCGUGGACGUUUACGUCUGCAGCGCCUACACGAAGCGCACUAGAGCGAAGACACAGUUCGCACUACAGUGUGGGAUAUUCUGCUUGCGUCAGGCACAGUAGCUGGAACUGGGCCUGGCAACGAUUGUUUCUUCUGGGUUGGACGAUAAGUCGCACUGAUGACAGAUUCGAGACAGACAAGAUCCGGCCAUGCUAAUGCAACUUUGUUUUGCUAAGUUUGAGAUCAAACAGCACUCUUCAACACAUAGCUUGUGGGAGGAAGAGGUGUACUGGUGCGGCUUGUUCUGUUACACCAGGCACGUGACAUAGCACACGCAAGACUUCAUGGCAGAGAGAAGUCUUUCUCAAGGGCGACACAUGCUGGGCCAUCUCCAUGCAGAAGGCACACUGUCAUCAGAAUCCCACCAACAAGCACUGUCGUGAUCCUAGUCGGAAUUUUUGCAGUGUGGUGCAUACCUUGAGUGCUGGCUUUUUUUUUUGUUAAUUGUAUUCUUAAAGCAGGUGCGACUGUUACAAGCUGUCACAUAUGAUGCAAAAGCUCUGUUGUGGUUGUGUUGAGCAACCUUCUGCUUUUCUUGCACCAUGGUUAUUGGUGUCAUAUUUCAUCUCAAGUGUCGUACUGAAACAUCCCAACUUCACGCUAACUGCUAAAAGAAUAUUCUAUGAACUUUCUCAACGGAUCUAAAAAAAUAUAAUAAUAAAAAUAAUUGUUGGCAUUUAACAUCCCAAAACCACGAUAUGAUUAUGAGAGACCUUGUCUGAUUAUGAAAAACCACGAUAUGAUCAUGAGAGACCUUUUGUAGAGAGAACCUUUAUGCCCAGUAACUGUCAGUAUCGAUAUGUUCGUACAUCGCUAGCGUGAGGUUGUGUCAAAUGGUGCUGGUUAAGCAGGAAGGAAAAAUUACUUAAUGUGAGUACCUUUUGAAAGAGGCCCCAUGCUUGAUAACAUAAAAUGUGCUGAAACAACUGCCACGAACAGUCAUUUCAGCGCAACAUCUGACAUAAUGCACAGGUUGCAUGAAAUUGAUUUUCUAUGCCUGAAUAUUUUUCUAAACCUUUUGCAAACUGCUCACUGUCAUUAAAGCUAAACCAUGGCGAAAGAAAAUUACCUCCUUGAUAUUUAAAGCUAAAUGUUGUCAAAGCACAUUUCUGCCAAUAAAAAUGCAAGAGUUUGCUAGGUCAACUGACAAAAGCUACUGAAUUGGGAACAUCAAUGGACUUUUAAAGCUUGAAUGUAGCACAAUUUUUUACAUGUUCAGUACAUAAGAGCUUUGGAAUAGGUCAUGCAGUCACUUUUUAUUUGGAAGUGAAAUUUGAAAGUGGUUGGAUGUAAUCAAAGGAACAAAGUGGUUCUAUAGUUUAAAGCAAGGUUUUCUCAGUUGUAUUUGUCAGAAAAUUGAAACAACGAAAUUUACUUUAAGAUAAUGUGGGGAAAAGCUUGGCUGCGUAUGUAGCUGGUGCUGGAUAGAGUGAACUCAGAACAAGCUGAGUAGAACAGUUGCAUGAUUGUGCUUUCUACGUGAACACGUCUUUUAUUGUAACAUGAGUGAGUGCAUUUUUAAUUUCAUUCUGCUGGGUGCAUACAUGUUUGGUGUCUUUGUGUGAUGAGUUUGCACUUGAAAGUGCAAGUUUUCUUCCCACUGCAUCUUGCUUGUUCUUAUUGAGAUAGAAGAAUAAUUUAUGUCCAAAUUGAUUCAUUCUUUCACUUUAUCGUCCCUUUAAGGCCGCACGCUAAAACAGUUCGCACUGAGGAACAUUCACUGCUGGUAAAACAGUUCAGGAUUUUGGAAACGACUGAAAUAUAAACUGCAGUUUGAUGGAAGAGGAAAGGAAAUGCUAUGAGACAAGUAAUUGCACAAUUUUGAGAGAAUGAGUAACAUAAUUGUCUCGGUGAGCAAAAGAGCAAUAUCUCGCUGCUGGGCCCUUAGUUGUCAACUUCUUUCACCGGCCACUGCCUCCGUCAUGAGCCUCAGUCCUUGCUUCUGAUGGAAAAAGUUUGUGCUAAAAUGUUUCACGCUAUUGUCUCGUCAUUUUGCAGGGACGUUAUGAACUGGAUAUACGUACUGUAGUCUGUUACAAUCUAAGAAAAAUGUCAGCUCUGCCCACAGCCAUCGCUGUCCCUCCUGCAGAGAAUUUGCAUAAAUGCUACGUCCAAUAGCAUUUGCUCAUGUUCGUGUUGUCAAGCACUUGUCGAGAGUUUCAG